rnacentral:rRNA from 1 species
GACGAACGCUGGCGGCGUGCCUAAUACAUGCAAGUCGAACGCAGUGGGGACGGGUGAGUAACACGUGGGUAACCUCCCAUCAGAGGGGAUCACCCUUGGAAACAGGUGCUAAACCGAUACUGAUGGAUGGACCAGCGGUGCAUUAGCUAGUUGGUGAGGUAACGGCUCACCAAGGCCACGAUGCAUAGCCAAGCUGGAAGGGUGAACGGGCACAAUGUAACUGAGACACGGCCCAAACUCCUACGGGAGGCAGCAGUGGGGAAUCUUCGGCAAUGGACGAAAGUCUGACCGAGCAACGCCGCGGGAGUGAAGAAGGGUUUCGGAUCGUAGAACUCUGUUGUUAGAGAAGCGGUAUCUAACCAAAAAGCCACGGCUAACUACGUGCCAGCAGCCGCGGUAAUAC